rnacentral:rRNA from 1 species
AUGGACGAGACCACGUUGCGGCAGUUUCUGGAACUAUGGUCGAGAGUACAAGCUUGGGAGCCGCAGGUCGACGAGCAGGAUGCGGUAUCUUGGUCCUGGGAGGCACAUGGCCAGUUCAUCGUGAGAUCGGCAUAUGCGAGCAGGUUUUGGGGACGUGAGGUGCUAGUGGCAAUAUUGCAACCCAAGGUUUUACAGGAACGCUCCUCCCAAGAGCUCUUCUUUAGUCUUCAUGUUUCAGCGCAAAAGUCGCAGGGUCUGCGAUGCUUCAAACCCCCACCAAAACCUGAGCUGAACUUAAAAUUGCCACUGCAUGCAUUGUCGACUCCACACAUCAUCAACUUCUUGUGGAGAAUUGCAUAUGCAGUAUACACCGUGCUCGGCAGGGUUAAGGACAAGAGGGGUGCUCAGGACAACAUAGGCAUAUAUGCCCAUGUGCUCCUUACGGCGGUAUUGAAGUGCAUGCAUUUAGUGAGUGUGAAAUCCAAGUGUCAUGAUGGUGGUCAUGGGUCCAUCUUACGUAGUCAAUCUGACAUCCGCAUCAACCACGCCCCACCUCCACGCCACCAGGAUUUCUACCUUUGUGACUUGUCUUCCCCCUCAAACACUUUGCACAUCAUGCCGCACAUUCCAUGA